rnacentral:rRNA from 1 species
CCUACGGGUGGCAGCAGUGAGGAAUAUUGGUCAAUGGGCUUACGCCUGAACCAGCCAAGUCGCGUGAGGGAAGACUGCCCUAUGGGUUGUAAACCUCUUUUGUCAGGGAGCAAUUUGCGCUACGUGUAGCGUUAUCUAGAGUACCUGCAGAAAAAGCAUCGGCUAACUCCGUGCCAGCAGCCGCGGUAAUACGGAGGAUGCGAGCGUUCUCCGGAUUUAUUGGGUUUAAAGGGUGCGUAGGCGGAAUGCCAAGUCAGCGGUAAAAGCGCGGGGCUCAACCUCGCUCCGCCGUUGAAACUGGCGUUCUUGAGUGGGCGAGAAGUAUGCGGAAUGCGUGGUGUAGCGGUGAAAUGCAUAGAUAUCACGCAGAACUCCGAUUGCGAAGGCAGCAUACCGGAGCCCAACUGACGCUGAAGCACGAAAGCGUGGGUAUCGAACAGGAUUAGAUACCCGUGUAGUC